CAGAAGAGCUUGCUCUUUGGGUGACGAGUGGCGGACGGGUGAGUAAUGUCUGGGGAUCUGCCCGGCAGAGGGGGAUAACUACUGGAAACGGUAGCUAAUACCGCAUAACCUCGCAAGAGCAAAGAGGGGGACCUUCGGGCCUCUCGCUGUCGGAUGAACCCAGAUGGGAUUAGCUAGUAGGUGAGGUAACGGCUCACCCAGGCGACGAUCCCUAGCUGGUCUGAGAGGAUGACCAGCCACACUGGAA
rnacentral:rRNA from 1 species